UAGGGAAUCUUCGGCAAUGGGGGCAACCCUGACCGAGCAACGCCGCGUGAGUGAAGAAGGUUUUCGGAUCGUAAAGCUCUGUUGUAAGUCAAGAACGAGUGUGAGAGUGGAAAGUUCACACUGUGACGGUAGCUUACCAGAAAGGGACGGCUAACUACGUGCCAGCAGCCGCGGUAAUACGUAGGUCCCGAGCGUUGUCCGGAUUUAUUGGGCGUAAAGCGAGCGCAGGCGGUUUGAUAAGUCUGAAGUUAAAGGCUGUGGCUCAACCAUAGUUCGCUUUGGAAACUGUCAAACUUGAGUGCAGAAGGGGAGAGUGGAAUUCCAUGUGUAGCGGUGAAAUGCGUAGAUAUAUGGAGGAACACCGGUGGCGAAAGCGGCUCUCUGGUCUGUAACUGACGCUGAGGCUCGAAAGCGUGGGGAGCGAACAGGAUUAGAUACCCUGGUAGUCCACGCCGUNNCGAUGUCGAUUUGGAGGUUGUGCCCUUGAGGCGUGGCUUCCGGAGCUAACGCGUUAAAUCGACCGCCUGGGGAGUACGGNCGCAAGGNUA
rnacentral:rRNA from 1 species